rnacentral:rRNA from 1 species
GAUGAACGCUAGCGGCAGGCUUAAUACAUGCAAGUCGAGGGGCAGCAUGAUUGUAGCAAUACAAUUGAUGGCGACCGGCAAACGGGUGCGGAACACGUACACAACCUCCCAAUAAGUGGGGAAUAGCCCAGAGAAAUUUGGAUUAAUACCCCGUAACAUAACGAUGUGGCAUCACAUUGUUAUUAUAGAUUUUUCGCUUAUUGAUGGGUGUGCGGCUGAUUAGAUAGUUGGCGGGGUAACGGCCCACCAAGUCUACGAUCAGUAGCUGAUGUGGGAGCAUGAUCAGCCACACGGGCACUGAGACACGGGCCCGACUCCUCCGGUAGGCAGCAGUAAGGAAUAUUGGACAAUGGACGCAAGUCUGAUCCAGCCAUGCCGCGUGAAGGAUUAAGGUCCUCUGGAUUGUAAACUUCUUUUAUAAGGGACGAAAAAAGGCUUUUCUAAGUCGUCUGACGGUACCUUAUGAAUAAGCACCGGCUAACUCCGUGCCAGCCGCCGCCGUAAAAC